CGGAAGGGCAUCGUCCCCGGUGGGGCGCCCGGAUUUCAAACCCGGUGAGAUGCGCAAGGCGCGUCUGGUAGGUUCGACUCCUAUUCCCUUCCGCCA
rnacentral:tRNA from 1 species